CCUACGGGAGGCAGCAGUGAGGAAUAUUGGUCAAUGGGCUGGAGCCUGAACCAGCCAAGUCGCGUGAGGGAAGACGGUCCUAUGGAUUGUAAACCUCUUUAGGCGGGGAGCAAUGCCGGGCACGCGUGCCCGGAGGGAGAGUACCCGCAGAAUAAGCAUCGGCUAACUCCGUGCCAGCAGCCGCGGUAAUACGGAGGAUGCGAGCGUUAUCCGGAUUUAUGGGGUUUAAAGGGUGCGUAGUCGGAUUUUUAAGUCAGCGGUAAAAUGUCCGGGCUCAACCCGGGCCGGCCGUUGAAACUGGGGAUCUUGAGUGGGCGAGAAGUAUGCGGAAGGCGUGGUGUAGCGGUGAAAUGCAUAGAUAUCACGCAGAACUCCGAUUGCGAAGGCAGCAUACCGGCGCCCGACUGACGCUGAGGCACGAAAGCGUGGGGAUCGAACAGGAUUAGAUACCCUUGUAGUC
rnacentral:rRNA from 1 species